GAAAUGGUGGAAAUAUUAAUAUUGAAGUUUCCUCUCAAUUUUAUAUUUUGUAAAAUAUCACAAAUUUAAAUCUGAACCAUAUGAAUGCUCUAUUAAUGUAGAGAGAGAAAAAAAAAGAUUGUUAAAGAUAGUGGGGAGGUGUAGAGUAUUUUUGGAAUAAAAAAAAUAGUGGGAAAGUGUAGAAUAUUUUUGAAAUAAAUUAAAAUAGUGGAGAGGUACAAGACCUACUUGGGGAGGUGGAACGAGCAACACCCUAUUCGAUUAAUACCCAAUCCAACCCGACCCAUGUUAAAAGUUCUUAAUCUUUACUAGUAUCAUGAAUAAAAAUUUAGAUUAUUUUAUAUUUUUUUGAAUCUUAUGUGAGACGUAGCAUUAGAUACUUGUCAAAUGUGACAUCGG
rnacentral:lncRNA from 1 species